GAGACCCAGACCGCAAACCUUGCUCUUUCAACCAAGACCAAUUGCAAUUUAGAUACAGGCGAAUGACUGUGAAGAAGACCAAUUAGAACCUUCAAAGGGAACGUGUCCGGCCUCUUCUCUGAGGGACGGUUCUGCCUACCAAUAACAUGGGCUAGGAGAUGCUCCAUUCGCUAGACAGAAGGCGGGUGAGCUAGAAUUUUUGAGACCCAGGUUCCCCAAGUGGCCGUUGGCUAGUUACCGUCAGAAAUCAGGAAUUGGAAUCCAGGACCAUGCACAUGUUAAGCACAAGCCCUGCACACAAGCUGCAGCUCCUGGUUAACACAGAUACUGGAGUUGGUGUGGGUGAUUCGCAGCUGGCCAGAGCAGUCAACGGAUGGAUCUGCUGGGCUCUUAGGCCCGGGUUGUCUAACAGGACUAAAUCCGGAGUUCCUGGGAAAGCCACAUUCCCCAUAUUUAUUGGUGUAGACCUUCCCCUACCUAUCAGAUGCAACCUCAUCUGCUGUGUCUCCUGGACAAUGUGCCACUCCGCAAGAAUUGCCAAGUGCCUGGACUCCGGGGGAUGCCCCAGACUCCAGAGCUCAUUCACCCUUUCCCCACCUCAACAGCUUGUCCUCUGCCCGUGCAACCAGGCCGCUGACCAUCAAGAAAGCAGUGCAGGAGCUUGGGCUUGUUCUCAGUAAAACUGUGAAGUAUUUAUACUCA